UACGGGGGGGGGUAAGCGUUGUUCGGAAUUACUGGGCGUAAAGGGCUCGUAGGCGGCCAACUAAGUCAGACGUGAAAUCCCUCAGCUUAACUGGGGAACUGCGUCUGAUACUGGAUGGCUUGGAUUCGGGAGAGGAAUGCGGAAUUCCAGGUGUAGCGGUGAAAUGCGUAGAUAUCUGGAGGAACACCGGUGGCGAAGGCGGGUCUCUGGGCCGAUACUGACGCUGAGGAGCGAAAGCGUGGGGAGCGAACAGG
rnacentral:rRNA from 1 species